rnacentral:rRNA from 1 species
UCCAGGGCUACACACGUGCUACGAAUGGACCGGUACAAAGGGCUGCAAGACCGUGAGGUUGAGCGAAUACCCAGAAAGACCGGUCUCAGUUCGGAUUGCAGGCUGCAACUCGCCUGCAUGAAGCCGGAAUCGCUAGUAAUCGCGGAUCAGCAUGCCGCGGUGAAUACGUUCCCGGGCCUU